rnacentral:rRNA from 1 species
AGUGAACGCUGGCGGUAGGCCUAACACAUGCAAGUCGAACGGCAGCACAGUAAGAGCUUGCUCUUACGGGUGGCGAGUGGCGGACGGGUGAGGAAUACAUCGGAAUCUACUUUUUCGUGGGGGAUAACGUAGGGAAACUUACGCUAAUACCUCAUACGACCUACCGGUGAAAGCAGGGGAUCUUCGGACCUUUCGCGAUUGAAUGAGCCGAUGUCGGAUUAGCUAGUUGGCGAGGUAAAGGCCCACCAAGGCGACGAUGCGUAGCUGGUCUGAGAGGAUGAUCAGCCACACUGGAACUGAGACACGGUCCAGACUCCUACGGGAGGCAGCAGUAGGGAAUCUUGGACAAUGGGCGAAAGCCUGAUCCAGCCACACCGCGUGAGUGAUGAAGGUCUUCGGGUUGUAAAGCUCUUUUGUUAGGAAAGAAAAGCAGCAGGUUAAUCCGCCGCUGUUCUGACGGUACCCAAAGAGUAAGCAACGGCUAACUUCGUG